GACAGAGGGUGCUAGCGUUGUUCGGAAUCACUGGGCGUAAAGGGCGCGUAGGCGGCCAGGCAAGUCGGCUUUGUGAAAGCCCGGGGCUCAACCCCGGAGGUGCGGCCGGGACUGCUUGGCUGGAGGCCGGAAGAGGAGGGUGGAAUACCCAGUGUAGAGGUGAAAUUCGUAGAUAUUGGGUGGAACACCGGUGGCGAAAGCGGCUCUCUGGUCCGGACCUGACGCUGAGGCGCGAAAGCGUGGGGAGCAAACAGG
rnacentral:rRNA from 1 species